rnacentral:rRNA from 1 species
CAGAGGGCGCGAGCGUUGUCCGGAAUCACUGGGCGUAAAGGGCGCGUAGGUGGCCACUAUAAGGCCGCGGUGAAAGUUCGGGGCUCAACCCUGAAUCGGCCGCGGCGACUGUAGGGCUUGGGUACCGUAGAGGCAGAUGGAAUUCCGGGUGUAGCGGUGGAAUGCGUAGAGAUCCGGAAGAACACCGGUGGCGAAGGCGGUCUGCUGGGCGGUGGACUCGUAAGAGUCCAAUAGCCGACACUGAGGCGCGACAGCGUGGGGAGCAAACAGGAUUAGAUACCCUGGUAGUCCACGCCGUAAACGAUGGGCACUAGGUGCUCCGGGGAGCGACCCUUGGAGUACCGGCGCUAACGCAUGAAGUGCCCCGCCUGGGGAGUACGGCCGCAAGGCUG